GACGAACGCUGGCGGCGUGCUUAACACAUGCAAGUCGAACGGAAAGGCCCUGCUUUUGUGGGGUGCUCGAGUGGCGAACGGGUGAGUAACACGUGAGUAACCUGCCCUUGACUUUGGGAUAACUUCAGGAAACUGGGGCUAAUACCGGAUAGGAGCUCCUGCUGCAUGGUGGGGGUUGGAAAGUUUCGGCGGUUGGGGAUGGACUCGCGGCUUAUCAGCUUGUUGGUGGGGUAGUGGUUGACCAAGGCUGUGACGGGUAGCCGGCCUGAGAGGGUGACCGGCGACAUUGGGACUGAGAUACGGCCCAGACGCCUACGGGAGGCAGCAGUGGGGAAUAUUGCACAAUGGGCGGAAGCCUGAUGCAGCAACGCCGCGUGCGGGAUGACGGCCUUCGGGUUGUAAACCGCUUUCGCCGGUGACGAAGCGUGAGUGACGGUAAUGGGUAAAGAAGCACCGGCUAACUACGUG
rnacentral:rRNA from 1 species